CCUGCCGGACCUGACUGCUAUCGGAUUGAUACUAAGCCAUGCGAGUCUUUGUAGUAAUACAAGGCAUACGGCUCAGUAACACGUAGUCAACCUACCCUAUGGACGAGAAUAAUCUCGGGAAACUGAGCAUAAUUCUUGAUAGAUCAUAAUGCCUGGAAUGGUUUAUGGUUAAAAUGAUUCGUCGCCAUAGGAUGGGACUGCGGCCUAUCAGCUUGUUGGUGAGGUAAUGGCCCACCAAGGCGAUUACAGGUACGGGCUCUGAGAGGAGAAGCCCGGAGAUGGGUACUGAGACACGGACCCAGGCCCUAUGGGGCGCAGCAGGCGAGAAAACUUUGCAAUGUGCGAAAGCACGACAAGGUUAAUCCGAGUGAUUUCUGCUAAAGAAAUCUUUUGUCAGUCAUAAAACCACUGACGAAUAAGGGGUGGGCAAGUUCUGGUGUCAGCCGCCGCGGUAAAACCAGCACCUCAAGUGGUCAGGAUGAUUAUUGGGCCUAAAGCAUCCGUAGCCGGCUUUGUAAGUUUUCGGUUAAAUCCAUGUGCUCAACGCAUGGGCUGCCGAAAAUACUGCAUGGCUAGGGAGUGGGAGAGGUAGACGGUACUCAGUAGGUAGGGGUAAAAUCCUUUGAUCUAUUGAUGACCACCUGUGGCGAAGGCGGUCUACCAGAACACGUUCGACGGUGAGGGAUGAAAGCUGGGGGAGCAAACCGGAUUAGAUACCCGGGUAGUCCCAGCUGUAAACGAUGCAGACUAGAUGAUGCAUUGGCAUAAUAGCCAUUGCAGUGUCUCAGGGAAGCCGUUAAGUCUGCCGCCUGGGAAGUACGUACGCAAGUAUGAAACUUAAAGGAAUUGGCGGGGGAGCACCACAAGGGGUGAAGCCUGCGGUUCAA
rnacentral:rRNA from 1 species